ACUCGCUAAAGGAACAAUAUAAAUGUAAAUGGACGCAUAAUUCGAGAGGUUUUCUAUUUUUCUCACCACGACAAAAUACUUCAGAUAUUUGAUGUGUUAUGAGUGGUUAUAAUCUCUGGAGGAGUAAAAUGGCGGAGUGAUUAGGUGAGAAAAUGGUGGCGAGUUGGAAUAACAAAAUGGUGGAAUGGUAAAAUGGUAACAAAGUUGGAAUAGCGAAAUGAUGGAAUAAUGUAAUGUUAAAAUGGCAAAAUGGUAAAACUGCAGAGUGAUAAAAUGGCAAAAUGGAAAAGUAAAAGAACAAAACCAUAGAAUUAUAAAACCAAGGUAUCACAGAAAUAACAAGAAUCGUAAAAUGAUAGAAUAAGAUGAUCGUAAAAUCAAACUAUCGUAAAACCAUAAAACCAAAGUAUCGUAAAAUCGUAGAAGCCACUAUAUUUAAACAUUCUAAAUUCAAUUAUCGAGUCUCUCGAAGUAGCAGAACUUCUACGCUAGGUCGGUACGACCGUGACAAAAGACGGUAAUUCGCGAAUAACUCGAUAUACGAAAUUGCAUCGAGAAAGCGUUAAUCGGACGCGUUCGCGUCGCUGACAGAAAUACGUUCGUGUCGUGUUGUAACCUUCGGAUCCCGAUGAACGUUUAAAUUGUUCGGUUGAUCGCUCGUAAACACUGGAAAACGAAGCUUCCCGACAGUGCACGAAUUUCAAUCAUCGAACAAAGAGACUCGGAAUUAUGGGCGUGCCAAACUCGAAGAGGCAAGAUACAGAUGACGACAUAAUAUCAAAGAAAUCACUGCAGGCUGUGAAGCAAAUCAUCAGUUUCCUAAAAGAACAUGCCAGAGAGGAGGGUUUGUUUCGACGCGCGGGCCGUCGCGAGCUACGAACGCGAAUAUUAAAUUCAUUGAAAAAAGGAGAGAAGCCACAUUUGGACAACAAUAACAACGCGGCCUUAGAAUGUGCAGCAGCGUUGCAACUUUUUCUUAGCCACUUGAAGAAACCCGUGAUGCCACAACAUGUCCAACAACUUCUUCUGGCCGACAAUCCCGGGGUGACCGCCCACGUAAUCGCGAGGGACGCGCUUGGAUUAAUACGACAGGACGUCGGGGGUCGUCACGGGGAGCUUCUGGCCAGGCUUCUUGAUUUACUCAGACACUUGACGCUUUCCGGCCCACCGUCGGAGAGAUCGGAACUACGCGGCUCGCCGCUUCCGAUUGCGCUGCUUCCGGUCUUCUUUACCCUAACGCCGGCUGACCUGGUGAAAUGGAAGCAAGUAGCCGCCAGAUUCAGCGAAUUAAUUACCGAAGCUCCUGAGCAACUGCAGCUGAAUGAAAAUCGAUCGUAUGACGUAGAAUCAACGGGUGUAACUAGCGGGAGUGAGGCGAACGUAAGAAACAGAAACGUCCUUAUGGUCUAACGAAAAUAUAAAAACUGCCUCAAAUUACCCUGUGUAAAAAGCAAAAGUCCUAGUCAUGACAAGUAAUUAUCCCUCGUCAUCGUAUUUUUCAAUAAAAGAGAGACAGGAAGAAAAUGGAAAGAUAGAAUGAAAAUGUCACAAUCGAAAUUUAUCACGUCAUUUUUCCUAUCUCCCUUUUUUUGUUACGUGCCUCUAUCUUUCUCUAUCUCCGUUGAAUAAACACAUUAAUGAAACAGACGACACUGGAAGAGUUGGCAUAUCUUUCGUACUCAUAUUACGCCAGUCAGGUUGGAGAGAUAACUCGCAUUCUUGCUGUGCCGUUGCAUAGACUUCCGGCAAGCAGACUUCAUCCAGCAAUUUCCAAUUCGAAUCGAUAGCCACGGCAUUAAAAGACAUUAAUAUAAAUGCAAUUCUUUCGCAUAAAUGUUAGGGAACGAUGCAUAAAUUAUCUGUAUCCAUUUACUGCACUUCUCAUACUUCGUUCGAUGGAAUGAAGAAAGAAAAAGGAAUUGCUUCUAGUUAUGCAUUUUUAUACUUGGUUCUUAUACCCUCAUUUAUAUUGUAAUUAUUUAUUUUUGUAUAAAAUACUGUAAAAUAAAAUUACUUUC